rnacentral:rRNA from 1 species
CUGGUUGAUCCUGCCAGUAGUCAUAUGCUUGUCUCAAAGAUUAAGCCAUGCAUGUCUAAGUAUAAGCCCUUGUACGGCGAAACUGCGAAUGGCUCAUUAAAACAGUUAUCGUUUCUUUGAUAAUCACUUACUACAUGGAUAACUGUAGUAAUUCUAGAGCUAAUACAUGCGUCUAUGCUCGACCUCACGGGAGAGUUGCAUUUAUUAGAUACAAAACCGACCCUGGGUUCGCCCAGUAACCGUUGGUGAUUCAUAAUAACUAAGCGAAUCGCACAGGCUUGCCUGGCGAUGGAUCUUUCAAGUUUCUGACCUAUCAGCUAUCGACGGUAGGGUAUUGGCCUACCGUGGCUAUGACGGGUAACGGAGAAUCAGGGUUCGAUUCCGGAGAGGGAGCCUGAGAAACGGCUACCACAUCUAAGGAUGGCAGCAGGCGCGCAAAUUACCCAAUCCUGACACAGGGAGGUAGUGACAAGAAAUAACAAUGCAGGGCUUCACAGUCUUGCAAUUGGAAUGAGUAGAUUUUAAAUCUCUCUACGAGUAACAAUUGGAGGGCAAGUCUGGU